AUGAAGUACAUGUGGCAGAGCGUUGCUAGGGUAUUGCUACUACUGCUAGUCUCCAGUGGAUGGCUGGAAGUGGCCACAGCCCGUCCAGAUCAGUCCUUCCACAGUCUAAACCGCACUUUGACAGAGGAGUAUGGUGCCCAAUGCUACUCCAGCUCACUUUCUGUUCGGAUUUCACGAUAUUGUGACAUACUGGACGAGUCACCGAACAGUGAAUGUUGUGAUGCCAUCUUUGCAACCCUUGGGAGAAAGGAUUGCCUAUGCAAAGUUGUCAGAGAACCGAACUAUCGAUCAUCACCCAUAUCAGGGGGCGACUUUAUUGUUGAUCUUUACCGUUCUUGUGAUGGGGGCCCUUACAUAAGUCCAACGGCGGAAACUGAGUGUGAACAGCCAGGCAGGCAAGCCCCACCCACACGGCCGCCGCCCACACCGCCGUCGCCGCCCAGUGCAAGAACUGCAGAGGGUGACUUGAAAGGCCUUCUGUCCUUUUGGAGGAAGCUUGGAUGGGCAACUUCUUCGCUGCUGCUCCUGGGGCUCCUUAGUUUCAUUCUGUGGAACACCUUGACCCAGCUUGCUCAUGAUACUAGGGUCCGUGCAACAGGAUGGUUCGUAAGCAAUGCAACUAAUGGAGCAGAAACAGCAGGAGAUGCACGCCCCCCUCCCACAUGGAAUGUUAUCACAAACAACAUCUUCGUCUGCAACCUUGGCUUCUCCCAAAAACUCAAGGACCCAGGUGAAGCUAUGGCACCAGCUAAUGUGGAGCUUUCUGCUUCUGUAAGCCCUCAAGGUGGUACGCCCUUUACCAGCGGACAAGCAGAUUCGGUGGAAGAGAACCCAGAGUCAUCUUUGCUGCGAUAG
rnacentral:rRNA from 1 species